UGGCUCAGAGGGUAAAGCGUCUGCCUACAAUGCAGGAGACCCGGGUUUGAUUCCUGG
rnacentral:tRNA from 1 species